GAGGUUCCAACCUUGCAAUUUCAGUUUCGGAUGGAGAAAGGGAAGCAAGGAGGUUAGGCAUGAUUUUAUACAAAUGUCCCUGAUAUUUGGAAAGACUGUCAAGGAGACAGGGUUCUUCUCUGAGCCCUGGCUAGCUAUUCCAGCACCCAUACCAGGCUUUUUCUCAAGGGAGAAAAUGAACUAUCUCACACAGCAUGUUUACAGCCCAAUAUGUAAGGCAAAACGGCAAAACACAGGAAAUGACAAUUUCAUUUGUGUGUGCUGGACAACAGGGAAAGUGUCACUGGUAGCUAUGCACCAUUUUUGGGGACUAGAACAGGACUUGAGACACUGAGGAGACAUCCUGCAUCUGCUGCUGCUCUGUGUGUGAUACUCUCAUUUCAGAUGGCUCCAGGAAUUCAUCUCAACUUUGUGGCAAUCACCUUUCUCAUUCAUGAUUUCCAAUUUAAGCCACAGGCAGUCUAUUCAUCCUAUUUAUAACAUUGGAGAUAAUUAAAGGUACCAUUUGGUUCUUAAUUAAAAGCAUCUUCUUUGCCUGACUUAGCCCUUCAUGUAAACUUGGAGAUGUGUGCUUCCUACUGUGUCCCUGCUCUCAACAUGGCCAAUGGAGAAAGGGAAGAAGAUUGGUUGGUGUAUCUUGUGAAAGCCAGAGUGACUGUCUAAGAUGCCAGAUGGACAAGGCAGGCCAGACUUUGAAUAGACUAAUGAAGUAUGACUGCAGCCCUACGCAGGCUGUGCUGGCUGAGCCAACAGACUCAGCAGAGCCCUGGACCAUCAGAUGCUGGCCUAAGCCAUGCGGUAGCGACAACGUGACACAUCCACAGCCUGGACCAGGUGCCAGCAGAUUGCUUGUUAGUUGUGAUUUCACCAAUAACUGGUUAUGUUGCUUGGGCAAGUUUGAAGUCUCAGUCUCAUCCUUUUUAAGAAGUAGAGAUUCACUCUAGAUUCCCUCCUAACUCCAACUUUCUGCUUUUCAAUAAUUUUUUAAUUUUCGUUUGUAAGAUGUGCAAAGUUAUAAAUCUUUUGAUCCUGGCUUCACAACCUUAGCUAGAUGAUCUAGGAGUCUACUUGAGAAUAAUAUGUUCUCUCUAGGAAAGAUGUUUGUGUUACCAAACAGCCAUCAAUCAUGGUUAUAUCCUGAACAGUGUUAAUCAGACUCAAGAAUAUGCUAUUUUACUGCUAACAGAUUUCUUAAUUAAAUUACUGAAAUGGUUCAAAAGAGUUUGAAGUUUUGGGAAUAGGAUUUAAAGUACAGUCUCUUCCAUCAGUUUUUACAAUUUGAGCUACUUAUUACUUAUUUAAGGUUUUUUUUUUUUUAAAUGUGUUGUCAAAUUUCCUUAAAACAAGCAAGAACUUAAACUUUGCAUAAAGCGUGGUUUCAUUGCCUGGUCGUUCCUAGCAAAGUGGCUUUGCUCUCUCCCCUAUUGGAAUUGACCCAAUCACAUCUCCCUCCAAUUUUUUUACUUCUUGUAUUCUCACGAUUCCAGUUAUAAGACCUUCAGCAAUAAAUUUAAUAUGGAAUCAGACAAAAAUGAGUUAACAUUUUUUCAGGUUCUUCUUUGCUUCUAGAUAAUCAGGUCUUAGAUCAAUUCUUUGAGAGUUUGAAUUAAAGUGAGGAAAACAAAGUUGAAUGAGAAGGAUGCUACAUAUCAGGAGAUUUUUUCCUCAGGUUUAUUUGGGACUUUUGAAGUUUUCAUAUGUUUAUACAGUUGCUUACUGCAGUUACUUG
ensembl:lncRNA